rnacentral:sRNA from 1 species
CUAUUGCCGAAUCGCAUUAGGGAUAGAAGUGAAAAUCCUUUUGUGCUGGGGUUCGGCACAAAAGAUUGAAGCGUAUAGCCCGACCCGCU